CUCAAAUUUUGGGGAUUCGAAGAGGAUCUGAGUUCCUUUUUUCCUCCUUCGCACAGUGGAAUGACGUCCAGCCUGUCAACGCAUCGAUCGUCAUCGAAGGGCUCUGCUUUGACUUCUUCUCGGCUUUUCCUGUGACUCUCUUCCACUUUGCGGUCUUCUCUCCUCUCCUAUCAUCUCUCACUCUUCCUCUGACUCUCCUUCUCUACUGAAAAAGCCCUAAUGUUUCGUCUUCCCCUCUUCUAUUUCUUCGUGUAAUUACCACGUCAACUCAAAUUUUGGCAGUAUUUAUCCCUAAAUCUCCUGGGAGAUUGUGAUUUUAUCCUUAAAACUGCUGCGAAUUUUUGUGUUUCCAUCAGUUCCGACGACAGUUGCCUUGAGGUUGGUCCCAAACGGUUUCUCAUCAACUCAUCUACCGAAUCCACAGAACCAACUGCAGCUUCAUUGACCGAAUGAGCUGGUGCCUAUACAGCCUGCUUGGAAUUUUUCUUUAUGGAUCUGAAUUUCAAUGUAUACAGAAGGAACAACCCUUAGGAACUCAUUCCAAAGCCUCCCCAGAAGAGGAAGUGGAGGGAUUCAUUGCAUUUUUUCAGAUAAAGUUCUCACUUUUUUCCUCAACAAAACAGCUAAGAUUCCAAAUUUAUUCAACAAUUUACUAAUUUUAUGUGUUUUUUUAUAUAGGCUUAUUUUCUUAUAACAUUGGACCCAACUAGCAUAUAUAUUCACUUCGUGGAUUGUUGUCCGCAAGAGAAACUUACAGAUUACUUCAUUUCAUUGGGUAUUUAAUUUUACCUUCAUCCUUGCAAUUUGUAUUAUUUAGUGAAAUGACACAGGCUUUCAUUUUAUGCAGAAACCUUCGCUCUAACCUGGAAAUUUUCUAUACGGCCGACUAAUCAAUGCCGACAGGUAUUUGACUGUUGCGUAUCUAAAUUUUCCACUCCAAUGAUUAAAAUGAAGCUUUUGUAAAUUGGGAAGAAGCUAUAUAUUGUUUCGAUCAAAUAAAACUAUUCCUUCCUAGCCAUAUUGUUUUUGUGGCAUAAAACUACUCCCACACGAUCAAAGUAUAUAGUAGAUACAUAGGUAAAAGAUACCUUGGAAAUAAAGUAUUGUACAUAAUAUUAAUAAUUAAUUAAUUAAUUAAUUGAUAAAGUUGGUGAUGGUGUUUUAAGGCUAUGCAAACUAAAUUUGUUGUGGGUAGACUCGAGUUUGGGUAACAACCACAAAUUUUUAUUUACUUUUCAAGUUUUGCUCAUUGCAGCUUCAAGUUUUAGGUAUUUUAAGAAUGACCUUUCCUGCUUUUUUACGAUUUUGUAUCAUGUGGUAUGAAUUAAUGCUCUCUUUUGUGUUCCAAAUGAUUUUACAUUGCUUGGUAAAAGGAAUUGUUAAACAAUGUGGUCAAGUUUUUCAGAUUGUUUUCAGAUUGUAAAAUUCAAUCAUACUUUUUUUUAAAGUGAUGUGUUUUAGAUACUGUGCUCUUCAACUAAGCUGUUGCAAAACUGUUGUAUAAAACUUUUAGCUGUUGAAAGUGUUUUAUCCAUCCUAACAAUUAGUCUACUAACUUAUGCCUAAUUUGUUAAUCCCUUACCAAAAUAAACAAAUCAUUUUAGUUAAUAUUUUUUCAUAAAAAUAGCCCAACGUUUCAUAAUCUUUCUUUUCGCUUGCAAUGUGGAAAGGUUGUUCAUUAUCUCAUGACCCUGGCUUUUGUUGUUGCCAUAAGUGAUACACAUUUCAAUUCACUUUCUGUGAGUAAUGUCACGAUCGUUGUUCAUAUUUCACGCUAAAUUGUUAAUAAGAAUUCAUUAUACUAGAACCUGCAACUCAAUUUAACCGCUCAAAUUUGUUUCUAAAUUGUUUAAACUAUUGUUCUCAUGUUUUGGAUCUUUACAACACUACACUUCUUUCUUUUUUAUGAAUGUGUUUUGUUCUUGGUUCU